GUUUGCUUGGAAAGCUGGUCAUGGAUUUAAGGAUGACCAGCACAGUGGUCUGGUAAUGGUAUACACUACACACAAGUGCAGAAAUUUCCUGAAAUGGGAAAAGUGAUGUACUUGGAAUUGUAUUGCAGGCUAGUCAGUAGGAUAGAACAGAACAGAAUGCUGACCUAUUAUGUAGUUAGCUACUGCCUAUUCCUGAUCUUCUCUAAUGUCCUGAGUACUUUGUCUGUUGAAUUAUGAAGACCAGUUUAUAAAAAAAAUAGCAAAACUAAUUUAAAUAAAUAUUUUUAUUUGAUUAACAAAAAUA